rnacentral:rRNA from 1 species
UACGUAGGUGGCGAGCGUUGUCCGGAUUUACUGGGCGUAAAGGGAGCGUAGGCGGACUUUUAAGUGAGAUGUGAAAUACCCGGGCUCAACUUGGGUGCUGCAUUUCAAACUGGAAGUCUAGAGUGCAGGAGAGGAGAAUGGAAUUCCUAGUGUAGCGGUGAAAUGCGUAGAGAUUAGGAAGAACACCAGUGGCUAAGGCGAUUCUCUGGACUGUAACUGACGCUGAGGCUCGAAAGCGUGGGGAGCAAACAGGAUUAGAUACCCCGGUAGU